rnacentral:tRNA from 1 species
GUGACUGUAGUUUAAUAAAAACCCUAGAUUGUGAUUCUAGAAAUAAAGGUUAAACCCCUUUCAAUCACC